UACGGAGGGUGCAAGCGUUAUCCGGAUUUACUGGGUUUAAAGGGAGCGUAGGUGGGUUAGUAAGUCAGUGGUGAAAUCUCCGAGCUUAACUCGGAAACUGCCGUUGAUACUAUUAAUCUUGAAUACUGUGGAGGCUAGCGGAAUAUGUCAUGUAGCGGUGAAAUGCAUAGAUAUGACAUAGAACACCAAUUGCGAAGGCAGCUGGCUACACAAGCAUUGACACUGAGGCUCGAAAGCGUGGGGAUCAAACAGG
rnacentral:rRNA from 1 species